rnacentral:tRNA from 2 species
UGCCCAAUCGCCAAAUUGGUAAGGCACCAGACUCUGACUCUGGCACUGUGUAGGUUCGAGUCCUGCUUGGGCAGCCA